rnacentral:rRNA from 1 species
GAUGAACGCUGGCGGCGUGCCUAAUACAUGCCAGUCGAGCGAACAGACGAGGAGCUUGCUCCUCUGACGUUAGCGGCGGACGGGUGAGUAACACGUGGAUAACCUACCUAUAAGACUGGGAUAACUUCGGGAAACCGGAGCUAAUACCGGAUAAUAUAUUGAACCGCAUGGUUCAAUAGUGAAAGACGGUUUUGCUGUCACUUAUAGAUGGAUCCGCGCCGCAUUAGCUAGUUGGUAAGGUAACGGCUUACCAAGGCGACGAUGCGUAGCCGACCUGAGAGGGUGAUCGGCCACACUGGAACUGAGACACGGUCCAGACUCCUACGGGAGGCAGCAGUAGGGAAUCUUCCGCAAUGGGCGAAAGCCUGACGGAGCAACGCCGCGUGAGUGAUGAAGGACUUCGGAUCGUAAAACUCUGUUAUUAGGGAAGAACAAAUGUGUAAGUAACUAUGCACGUCUUGACGGUACCUAAUCAGAAAGCCACGGCUAACUACGUG